rnacentral:lncRNA from 1 species
CAAGUCCACUGACACCAUCAAGUUUUAGGAGGUUUAUUCUCUGCUCCCUGAGGCCACCCCCUUGUAUAAGAAGAUGCUAAUUUUAACAGGAGAUCAUGCAUCCCAAGAGCAGGAGUGAACGUGCAGCUAUUUCUUGGCAACCCUAACUGCCACCAGAGUUGCCAGGCUGCUAAAGGCAUUCGCCUGUGCUGUACACACAGCUGGGAAAUCAGAAGCAAGGAGCUGGGUUUGUUACCAGCCAAAGCCCUGGAACUCACAAGGCAAUCUGCUCUCCUUGGGAAGUUUUUGUCUGAGCAUCUGAGAUAUUUUCAAGUAAGAAGCCAUGGAGAUUGGAAGAGCUACCCCUGCAGCAAAAUCAGCCUUGUGUUAUGUACAGGCUGGCCUGUGACAACAAGCCCUGGGGACACUGGGGUUCCAGCCCUGCUCAGCCGAGCUUCAUGCAUUAUGGAUGAAGAUUGUCGAUGCGCAGACUUCAGGGACAUGGCUCCUCCAAAGCAAAAUCAACACUCCAUGCAACCACUACCUACCAACAGCUGUUGUCCAGGGCUUGAAAGAUGGCUCCAGCAGCAAUAGUAGUAAACAGGAGCAAGAAUACACUGAGUAUUCCUUUUAAGUGUUGUUUCGAAGACAAAACGAAAACUUCAAUCAAAAUGAAAUGAUUAGGAGUUCCCGUCGUGGCGCAGCAGAAAUGAAUCCGACUAGGAACCCUGAGGUGGCGGGUUUAAUCCCUGGCCUCGUUCAGUGCGUUAAGGAUCCAACGUUGCCUUGAGCUGUGGUGUAGGUCGUAGAUGCGGCUCGAAUCCCGUGUUGCUGUGGCUCUAGCGUAGGUCGGCAGCUACAGCUCUCAUUAACCCCUAGCCUGGUAACCUCCAUAUGCCACGGGUGUGGCC